UAAAUAUUGUUUUUUCUAGAGCUGGUUCGAUUCAAAAUCUGGGAUUGGCCCUCUUUAAUAUAUUUUGUGGUCUAAUAAUUGACAAAUUUGGAUAUACCGGCGUAGAAAUCUUUUUCAUAGCAAGUUUAAUAGCGGCUUUUAUUUCUUCGGUGGGACUCUUAUUCCUGGAUAGAAUUGAUAAUGGACUGCUAAACAAGACUCCUGGAGGAAGGUCAAGGCAUCAUAU
rnacentral:lncRNA from 1 species